rnacentral:rRNA from 1 species
UGGGGCUCAUUGAGCGGGCUGGAUCUCUCGGGGUUACAGCCUUGCUGAAUUAUUCACCCUUGUCUUUUGCGUACUUCUUGUUUCCUUGGUGGGUUCGCCCACCACUAGGACAAACAUAAACCUUUUGUAAUUGCAAUCAGCGUCAGUAACAAAUUAAUAAUUACAACUUUCAACAACGGAUCUCUUGGUUCUGGCAUCGAUGAAGAACGCAGCGAAAUGCGAUAAGUAGUGUGAAUUGCAGAAUUCAGUGAAUCAUCGAAUCUUUGAACGCACAUUGCGCCCUUUGGUAUUCCAAAGGGCAUGCCUGUUCGAGCGUCAUUUGUACCCUCAAGCUUUGCUUGGUGUUGGGCGUCUUGUCUCUAGCUUUGCUGGAGACUCGCCUUAAAGUAAUUGGCAGCCGGCCUACUGGUUUCGGAGCGCAGCACAAGUCGCACUCUCUAUCAGCAAAGGUCUAGCAUCCAUUAAGCCUUUUUUCAACUUUUGACCUCGGAUCAGGUAGGGAUACCCGCUGAACUUAAGCAUAUCAAUAAGCGGAGGAA